rnacentral:sRNA from 1 species
CGGCGCCCGUCGAGGAGUGGCGCCACGACGUUCUCCACAGAGGUUUUCGACAAUGAGGUUGUUCCGUCUGCUCUCGCUUCCAUUUCUCCGAUUCUCCGAGUCGCCAAUGAGAUCGAAAGCGAACGCCCUAGGGUUGCUUAUCUAUGUCGGUUCUAUGCUUUCGAGAAGGCGCACCGGUUGGAUCAGAGCUCCAGCGGACGUGGUGUGAGGCAGUUUAAGACGCUGCUGUUGCAGCGAUUGGAGAGGGACAAUGCACACAGUCUUGCCCUUCGAGUUAAGAAGACAGAUGCAAGGGAAAUCCAGGCUUAUUAUCAGCAAUACUAUGAGCAUUAUGUCAGAGCUCUUGACCAA